rnacentral:rRNA from 1 species
UACGUAGGGGGCGAGCGUUAUCCGGAUUCAUUGGGCGUAAAGCGCUCGUAGGCGGUCCAUUAGGUCGGAGGUCAAAUCCCGGGGCUCAACCCCGGUCCGCCCCCGAUACCGGUGGACUUGAGUGUGGUAGGGGAAAGCGGAAUUCCCGGUGUAGCGGUGGAAUGCGCAGAUAUCGGGAAGAACACCGGUGGCGAAGGCGGCUUUCUGGGCCAUCACUGACGCUGAGGAGCGAAAGUUGGGGGAGCGAACAGG